AAGUCGUAACAAGGUUUCCGUAGGUGAACCUGCGGAAGGAUCAUUAACACGUGAUACUCACGUAUUAAAAACCCACCGAGAAAUUGUUAUAUUAUCCUAUUAUUGGCUGCAGGUAGAUAAAAUGAGGGAAUGCUAUGGGCCGCACUUCGAAAGAUUUUACGCCCUAACUCAUUUUAUUGUUCCAUGGUCCGUCCUGGAGCUUGCACUGAUUAAUAGUUGACGAGUUGCGACUGCUUAUUAAGCCUGUAGCAUAGCUUGCAGAUCUGCAAUGACCUUAUUAACCACUUUUUUACUAUUAUUUACUGAUUUUGUAUGUUUAUAUGAAUUCCUAACUAUUUAUUUAGUUGGUUGUAGUUUAUAUAGAUGUCGUAUAUUACUAAUACGAAACAACUCUUAGCAACGGAUAUCUUGGUUCUC
rnacentral:misc_RNA from 1 species